rnacentral:rRNA from 1 species
AUACGGAGGGUGCAAGCGUUACUCGGAAUCACUGGGCGUAAAGCGCGCGCAGGCGGUCUUUUAAGUUGGAUGUGCAAGCCUACGGCUCAACCGUAGAACUGCAUCCAAAACUAUUAGACUAGAGUGUGGGAGAGGAAGAUGGAAUUAGUUGUGUAGGGGUAAAAUCCGUAGAGAUAACUAGGAAUACCAAAAGCGAAGGCAAUCUUCUGGAACACUACUGACGCUGAGGCGCGAAAGCGUGGGGAGCAAACAGGAUUAGAUACCCUAGUAGUCC